rnacentral:rRNA from 1 species
UGGUGAAUAUUGGACAAUGGGCGAAAGCCUGAUCCAGCCAUGCCGCGUGUGUGAAGAAGGUCUUCGGAUUGUAAAGCACUUUAAGUUGGGAGGAAGGGCAGUAAGCGAAUACCUUGCUGUUUUGACGUUACCGACAGAAUAAGCACCGGCUAACUCUGUGCCAGCAGCCGCGGUAAUACAGAGGGUGCAAGCGUUAAUCGGAAUUACUGGGCGUAAAGCGCGCGUAGGCGGCUAAUUGAGUCGGAUGUGAAAUCCCCGAGCUUAACUUGGGAAUUGCAUUCGAUACUGGUUAGCUAGAGUGUGGGAGAGGAUGGUAGAAUUCCAGGUGUAGCGGUGAAAUGCGUAGAGAUCUGGAGGAAUACCGAUGGCGAAGGCAGCCAUCUGGCCUAACACUGACGCUGAGGUACGAAAGCAUGGGGAGCAAACAGG